AUUUGAAAAGAAUGUGUAUUCUACUGUUUUAAGAUGGAAUGUCUGAAUAUGUCUGUUAAAUCCAUCUGGUCUAGUGUGUCAUUCAAAACCACUGUUUCAUUGUUGGUUUUCUGUUUGGACGAUCUGUCCAUCAAUGCAAGUGGGCUGUUAAAGUCUCCGACUAUUUUUGUCUUACUACUGAUUAUUUCUUUUAUGUUUGUUAUUAACUCCUUUACCUAUUUUGGUGCUUUCAUGCUGGGCGCAUAAAUAUUUACAAUUGUUAUAUCUUCUUGUUGGAUUGUCCCCUUUAUUAUUAUAUAGUGUCCUUCUUUGUCUGUUGUUACUAGACUAGUCAAAAUUAUAGAGACAGAAAAUAAAAUGGUGGUUGUCAGGGGCUGGGGAGAGGGAGGAACAGAGGAGUUAGUGUUUAAUGGGUACAAAGUUUCAGUUUCACAAGAAUGAAAAGAUUUAUGGAUACAGAUGAUGGUGAUGGUUGCCCAACAUUAUGAACAUACUUAAUAUCAUUGAACUGUAUGCUUAAAAAUGGUUAAGAUGGUAAAUUUUGUAUAAUACAUAUUUUAUCAUAAUAAAAUAAUUGGAAAAAAAAAGAAACACUGGACUAAUGGACUAAUGCCUUGGCAGAGUCCCCUGAGAGAGAAGUUGAGAGAUAGUCUAUUUGACAUUUUAUCAGUCAGGGCUCUCUACAAGCACUGGCACGUUUAGAUCCCUACAGAGUAAAAAUUAAUUGGAAAUAGCUAAUCUUAAUAGAGAAAGAGCAAAGAAUGGCCACUCUCCCUUCCUGGUCACCUGUUAUGGAGAAUCUAUAGACUUCCACUAGUGAUGUCAUCAUCAAAGCGCCAGAGGGGCCAGAGGAUCUGAGUUCUAACUGGGAGCAAGUUUGUGCAGGUACUGUCUUCAUUGAGACAGAAAAACGUGCUAAACAGAGGGGAGAACAAUUCACUCAUGCCCAUGAGACCUGGGUUCUAAUUCUGGCUGUGCUGCUAAUUUCUGCUUGGUAUAUAUCCAUUGGAUUUUUGACUGCCAACAUCUGAAUCCCCUUCCUACCCAUGGGAGAAUCCACAGAGCUCAUCUCCUGCCACUUUCCUGGGCUUUAGGAUCUAGAAGAUGCAUCCUUUUUUCAUCCAGUGAUGAGGGUCCACUGUGUGCAUCCGGUGUCCAACGGAGAAGGUCCGAGCAGAGCUGAAAAAGUGAUGAAGCCUGCCACAGAAUAUUCUUUAUGGAGCGCUGAAAAACCCACUAUGACACCAGAGUAUCCUAAAGCUAUCCUGGAAUGUUAGUGAUCUUGAGUUACAAGUUCCUAAGAGGAAAGAUUACAGAACUCUGUGAUACUUUGAAAAAUUCCUACUCACAACCUUUUCUCUUUUUCCUCCACCUGGCAAGCUAUUCUUAAAACCAUUGUCAUUACUACUAUUUUCUGUUUCUUCAGAUUCACCUACAACCCCUCAAAAAUCCUUGGCUGUGACAUCUUGAGAUUUUGGAACAAUCUGGCUCAUUAUUGUGACUAGAAACCAGAUAAUGAAAUUUGUGUUUGGCUUAACUACCAGGGAAAGGAGCAUGGAGACAUAAGCCACACAUAGUCUUUCUAGUAUCUUACUUUGAUCAAAUGUCAAGGUUAUGAAUAAUAGAAAUCCUGGUUUAGUUGGGGAGUUGACUAAAUAUCACAGAGUUACUAUGCUAUUCUAAAGUAAACAAACAUGUCUUUUGUUGUCUUUGUCUUUUUUUUCUACAGAUGUAUUUUUAAAAGCUUUAUAUUUUAAUAAUGUGGAUUCAUUACUAUUGAUGACAUCUGAUCAGUAGCUUACGAAUGUGAAUUGGAAGAUUAAUUAUCUAGGGGAAACUUUGGAAAGGGCUGGAGAAUGUUUCAUUAACAGAGCUGGGUUUCCACGUAGAUGCCGAAAGCACUUCCGUUCCCAGACCUCCUUAUAGCUAUGAUUAUGUGUCCUGAUUCUGGCCAAUGUGAUUAAAGAGGAAAUCAACAGGAAACUUCUGUAAGGCCUUUCCUCUUAAAAGAGAAAUGCUUGUGACAGUGUCGAGCGGUAUCCUGUGGAAUGGACGUGCCACAGUUCAUUUAACUACUCACCGCUGAAGGACACCUGAGUUGUUUCCAGUUUGCAGAUAUCAUGGAGAAAGUUGCUGCGAACAUUUGUACAGAUUUCUGUGUGAAGAUAAAUCUCCAUUUCUCUGGGAUAAAUGCCCAAGAGAGCAAUUUCUGGGUCAUCUGUAUGUUGGUUUAUUUAUAAUUUUCACUGGAGUAUUGACUCUUGAGGACAGGUUCUUAGCUCCAUUUGGAUUUGCAUCACAUAUACUCAGCAUUUGUGUGACAUAUGGUGAUAUUCAAUAAAAAAUAUGGAAGGGCAGAAGAAAGGAAGAAAGAAAAGAUAAAGAAAGGGAAGGAGGAGAGAAAUCUAUCCUUCCCUUAAGUUGUUAGCUAUUCCACUUCCAGACCUCCCAACAUCAUUUUUUUUUUUUUUAAUGAGUCCGGUAGCUCCAGGGCUGGAUAGUGCCCAGCACAGAGUAGUUGCUUACUAUGUGCUAAAUUAUGCAAUGAAUAUUCUAGAGAGUAGAGCAGCUCUUCUCUUCUCUGGCCCCAUCCUCCCUUUGCCCUGCUCCGUCACUCAAGCCCAAGCAUGGGCACACAAAGGCACACGCGCACACUCUGGGGCCAUAUCCUAGGGAUCUUUUUCUGGAACCAAGCCAACAACUAACAAAUGAGGUGCUGUUGCUUCGAAGCUGAGCUAGCAACAGCCUUGGCCUUGUCUGUGCAACUGCCUAGGAAAUUACAAAUGCAGGAUUUGGGGACCCAGCAGCUUUGUGGACUCGUUCCAAUGAGAAUACAGGAUGCACUUGAAAUAAAGAAUGCUUCUUUGUGACUCAUUAAGCUCUUCUCCGUUCCUCUCUAUUAGGCAUGUGUCUGCCAUGCCAGGCAAAGCUAUGACCUUCAAAAGUGGAAGAGUCAGGCGGAAAUAAAAACAUUCCACUUCAGCGCCUAAACCAUGUGCCCCUUAAUCUGAAAUAAAUCUGUGACAACUGACAGCUACUUCUUUCAGACAGUUGUGGAGAAAGGCUUGACUUGUCCUAGUAAAUCAGACACAGGCUUCAUUAUUUUUAGUCUCGUUAAAAAAAAAGUUACCAUAGCAACUGCACCAUCAUCUAGGGCAAAUAUUAUCUAAGUCAAUAAAAAGAGGAGCUGUCCCAAAUACCCAGUACUUUGAAAGGAAGAAAUAUCUUUUCAAUAAAAUUAAUUUCUUCCAAGA